rnacentral:rRNA from 1 species
UACGGAGGAUCCAAGCGUUAUCCGGAAUCAUUGGGUUUAAAGGGUCCGUAGGCGGGCCUGUAAGUCAGUGGUGAAAUCUCCCCGCUCAACGGGGAAACGGCCAUUGAUACUGCAGGCCUUGAAUUAUUGGGAAGUAACUAGAAUAUGUAGUGUAGCGGUGAAAUGCUUAGAUAUUACAUGGAAUACCGAUGCGAAGGCAGGUUACUAUCAAUACAUUGACGCUGAUGGACGAAAGCGUGGGGAGCGAACAGG